AGGGUGACCGGCCACACUGGGACUGAGACACGGCCCAGACUCCUACGGGAGGCAGCAGUGGGGAAUAUUGGACAAUGGGCGAAAGCCUGAUCCAGCAACGCCGCGUGAGGGAUGACGGCCUUCGGGUUGUAAACCUCUUUCAGCAGGGACGAAGCGCAAGUGACGGUACCUGCAGAAGAAGCACCGGCCAACUACGUGCCAGCAGCCGCGGUAAUACGUAGGGUGCGAGCGUUGUCCGGAAUUAUUGGGCGUAAAGGGCUCGUAGGCGGUUUGUCGCGUCGGGAGUGAAAACCCAGGGCUUAACCCUGGGCCUGCUUCCGAUACGGGCAGACUAGAGGUAUGCAGGGGAGAACGGAAUUCCUGGUGUAGCGGUGAAAUGCGCAGAUAUCAGGAGGAACACCGGUGGCGAAGGCGGUUCUCUGGGCAUUACCUGACGCUGAGGAGCGAAAGUGUGGGGAGCGAACAGGAUUAGAUACCCUGGUAGUCCACACCGUAAACGUUGGGCGCUAGGUGUGGGACUCAUUCCACGAGUUCCGUGCCGCAGCUAACGC
rnacentral:rRNA from 1 species